CAGAAUUAAUGUAUUUCUUUCUGUUUCCAUGAAACUGCUCUCAGGCAUAGCUUUCUCCACCCUCAACAAGACAGAGCCAUGUGCACAAUUACCCUUCACACAUCCUGAAGAUAUGAAAACAAAAACAGAAAUUCAGGCCCAGCUGGAAGAACAAAAAUUGGCACCUCCAAGCCUCAGAGCUGCUGAGGAGACAUUGGUGUUCAGGAAAUGGCUGGAGUUUUGGGAGAGCAAGCCCUGAACUUGGAGAAAGGGGCUGAGGAAAGCAGAAGACCUGAGGACAUGUCUGGGCAACGUGGUAAGAGUGGGGUAUCUUCUCUUCGGUUGGGGGCUAGAAUGAAAGUGG
rnacentral:lncRNA from 1 species